ACGGCCACCCGCUCUGCCCCCGCGGGCGCGGGGCCGGCCUGGCCCCCGGGGUCCGCGUCCCGAGCGGCUGUGCACUCACCGAGCCGGGCUGCGAGGGGCAGAGGGGCGCCCGCGGCUAGCCGGAGCGCCGGGGCGCCUCCCUUUUCUCUUGGUAGCGUCGGUCCGCACUCCCUGUGACCCAGGACGUCAUGAUGCCUGUCUGUUUUCUCAAUGACAACUUGGCAGAAGAAGAGAGAGGCUGCCAGGUUCUCCUCGGGUGGUUACGUGGCAGAGAAUCGGCACCAAGACAGCGAGGAGCAUCCACCCCGGGCCAGACACUCAUGUUCGCGGCUCGCACUUGCUGACUUGCAUCUCAGAUGCCUUCUCGAAUCAGCACGAAAGGUCUCAACAAUAACUCUGGAUAUUUGUUUCUGCAAACAUGAGAAUGUAUUUUACGUGGUGUGGCCACGUGACAGAACAGGAGAGGAGGAUUAUUGGUGUUCCCAUUCUACCCAAGGAAACUGAGGCACUGAGCAGUUAAGUAAUUUGCCCAGAGUUAUACAGCUGGGGUUCAAAAUCAGGUGCCUUGAGCCCUCACUAUCAAGCUCUUUGCUUACCUGCCUACUGAUUCAACUUCAUUUCUACCUCCUCACAUCUUGCAGUCAGGCUGCUCACCCAUUGCCCACUUCACCCUUUGUUAACCCCAAGGUCACUGCCCAAGCAUUCCAUGCCCCCUUCUGCCUCUUUGCUAUUCAAAU